GCAGGUGGUUUGCUCCCUGAGGCAGGACACUGAAGGGUAUUCUCUGAGCUUGCUGCUGAAGUGCACCAUUGAGGGUUGCUGGUGGUUGCUCUUUCCCCUCCUGCUCUCUGUUUUAUCCAGUUAGCUUAUAAUCUCUUUGGGCAAGGACCUCCUGUUCUUGUGUGUUUGACUAGCAUAAUGAGGUAAAGAAGUCUUUGAUUUAUCCAUUUACUACUCUUUGAUGACUGCAGUUUCUCUCAUUUAGAGAAAGACAUUGUCCUUGGAUUUCAGUCCAGUUCCAGGCGGAUGGCUGUCCUCAUCCCAAAGUCUGCCAUAACAAUUUGCUAAGAAAGCUGAAUCAUUUGCCUUCUACUUUGGGAAGUUGUUCCUGCAGUCAUGAAUAAGGUUCCUGUGUGUAAGCCUGUUAAGAAAAACAAAGAAGUCAGCUUAUCCUUCAGAUCCGACAGCAGCCGCUGCACAGCUCUAGGGCUUUUUGCAUGUACCAGGCAGGGUAACAUCUGCUCCGAAGACUGGCUUUGGUUCUGGAGGGAUCCCUGCAGCCCAGGAUCACAAGCCCCUUUGCAGCCUUCUUGAUGCAGGGGAUGGGAGGUCCUGCGGGGAGGGUUCCUCAAGCCACCUCUGUAGAGCCCCAGGGAACGGGGAGCAUCCACUGCAGGGGUGUGGACACUGAGCUGGGUGCUGCCUGGUUGCAGGGGAGGGACCAGCAGCCCCGGCAUGUUCAGAGCAACCUGUGUCACCAAGGGGGUUAUUAUAAGCAGUGUUUUCCUUUGUUGUUUCCAUUAGAUCAAAAACAUAGUUUGUGCCCUCUCUCUUGGACCAAGCAAAACAUUGCAUACACUUUUGAUUUAUUACAAGGGCAUGCUGCACACAAGUAUCUUUCUUUGUAUUAUGUAUUUAUUUCACAAUAGAGCCCAAUAGAAAAUGCUAUUUACUUUGUCUGUGAUGGGUUUUGUGAGUGCUGUUUGUAAAACAAGUAAACAAAACAAAAAAUGAAACGUAGUUUUGCUGUUUAUCCCCAAGUGCUGCUGAUAGGUUUGCAGUAGACAAAUCAGCUUACCCAUUCUUAUUAAAAUGUUCAGUAUGUUCUCUCUUCUUUAUUAACAAGAUGCCUUUCUUUCUUCCCUGGAAUGAAACCAAGGCCUUUGAAAACAACUUUUUUUUUUUUUUUCAUGGGAGCAAGACAGAAGUCUCCUGCUCUAGAAGCUCCAAAGACAGGCAUUCAUCUGGGAUGCCGGGAGACCCAGUGAAUUUUUUUGAUUAGCAAAGCACAGAGGUUCCCACAGGAGAAAUUCAGGGAAUCUCACUUGAGAAUAGCCAGGUGGUAGGAAUAACUACCUGGUGUAUGAAGCCUGUCAUUAAGUCUCUGGUCGAAACAAGCACACACAGUUUAGGCCAGGUCCCACUUGUCUCAUGAGGAUGUGCUCUAGCUGAGGAGCUUGUGUGGGGAUCCAGAUGUGAGCUUCUAGUGAAAACCAGGGGAUUUCUGCCGAAUUCAAAGCUGCUGCUUGCCUGCGUGUUCUUGCAGCGGGGACAAUCCAGUAAAUCAGCACUGCUUAAUGAAAAUCUCUUUUACCCAAAUACCGUCAGUCAUCUCUACCCUUUUCUCAGA